CCUACGGGCGGCAGCAGUAGGGAAUCUUCCACAAUGGGCGAAAGCCUGAUGGAGCAACGCCGCGUGGGUGAAGACGGUCCUCGGAUCGUAAAACUCUGUUGUUAGAGAAGAAAGUGCGUGAGAGUAACUGUUCACGUUUCGACGGUAUCUAACCAGAAAGCCACGGCUAACUACGUGCCAGCAGCCGCGGUAAUACGUAGGUGGCAAGCGUUAUCCGGAUUUAUUGGGCGUAAAGGGAACGCAGGCGGUCUUUUAAGGCUGAUGUGAAAGCCUUCGGCUUAACCGGAGUAGUGCAUUGGAAACUGGGAGACUUGAGUGCAGAAGAGGAGAGUGGAACUCCAUGUGUAGCGGUGAAAUGCGUAGAUAUAUGGAAGAACACCAGUGGCGAAAGCGGCUCUCUGGUCUGUAACUGACGCUGAGGUUCGAAAGCGUGGGUAGCAAACAGGAUUAGAUACCCCUGUAGUC
rnacentral:rRNA from 1 species